rnacentral:sRNA from 1 species
GCUGGGUGCGGUGGUGCACAUCUGUAAUCUCAGCAACUCAGGAGGCUGAGGCAAGAGGAUCACAAGGCCAUCCUCAGCAACUUAGCAAGUCCCUGAGGACUUAGCAAGACCCUGUCUCAA